GAUGAACGCUGGCGGCGUGCCUAAUACAUGCAAGUCGAGCGAACGGACGAGAAGCUUGCUUCUCUGAUGUUAGCGGCGGACGGGUGAGUAACACGUGGAUAACCUACCUAUAAGACUGGGAUAACUUCGGGAAACCGGAGCUAAUACCGGAUAAUAUUUUGAACCGCAUGGUUCAAAAGUGAAAGACGGUCUUGCUGUCACUUAUAGAUGGAUCCGCGCUGCAUUAGCUAGUUGGUAAGGUAACGGCUUACCAAGGCAACGAUGCAUAGCCGACCUGAGAGGGGGAUCGGCCAACCUGGAACUGAGAAACGGUCCAGCCUCCUACGGGAGGCAGCAGUAGGGAAUCUUCCGCAAUGGGCGAAAGCCUGACGGAGCAACGCCGCGUGAGUGAUGAAGGUCUUCGGAUCGUAAAACGCUGUUAUUAGGGAAGAACAUAGUGUAAGUAACUGUGCACAUCUUGACGGUACCUAAUCAGAAAGCCACGGCUAACUACGUG
rnacentral:rRNA from 1 species